AAUAGAUACCCCGGUAGUCCAUGCCGUAAACGAUGUCUACUAGCCGUUGGGGCCUUUGAGGCUUUAGUGGCGCAGCUAACGCGAUAAGUAGACCGCCUGGGGAGUACGGUCGCAAGACUAAAACUCAAAUGAAUUGACGGGGGCCCGCACAAGCGGUGGAGCAUGUGGUUUAAUUCGAUGCAACGCGAAGAACCUUACCUGGUCUUGACAUAGUAAGAACUUUCCAGAGAUGGAUUGGUGCCUUCGGGAACUUACAUACGGGUGCUGCAUGGCUGUCGUCAGCUCGUGUCGUGAGAUGUUGGGUUAAGUCCCGCAACGAGCGCAACCCUUUUCCUUAUUUGCCAUCGGGUUAAGCCGGGAACUUUAAGGAUACUGCCAGUGACAAACUGGAGGAAGGCGGGGACGACGUCAAGGUCAUCAUGGCCCUUAGACCAGGGCUACACACGUGCUACAAUGGUCGGUACAAAGGGUUGCUACCUAGCGAUAGGAUGCUAAUCUUAAAAAGCCGAUCGUAGUCCGGAUUGGAGUCUGCAACUCGACUCCA
rnacentral:rRNA from 1 species